UUGUCCCCCAAGGAUCGGGUGUCCCCCUCCCUCUUCCCACCCUCAUCUCCAGCAGAAGUUUUCCACACACGUUAGCAGGGAAAUAUUUGUGCUUGACGUGACCGUCACGUGCGAGACCCGACUGGAGCGGCCCGGGGAAGGGGGGGGCCGUGCUUCCCUUGGGGGCUGCCCUGACACGGCUCCGGCCUGGGGAGCUGGGGGGGACAGAUGGACACAGGGAGUGACCGGUGACACCGGAGUGACCGGGGAGCCCAGCGUGACCGGAGGGGUCUGGCCCGGCGGAGGGGGCACGGGGCUGGCAGCCAUGGGCCCGUGAAUGCUGCCAGCUGCGCUGCUCCUGCUCGCUGUGCUGCUGCUCCUUUGGGCCAAAAUGUCCAACUCUCGGUGUGAGCAGGAGAAGGAGCCGGAGCAGAGCCCGGCGGGGCUGCCUUCCGCAGGCGGGCCCCCGGCACGGCCGAGCCCCGCGGGCCGGCAGCCGCCGCGGGCGGGCGCGGAGCAGGAGCAGCUCGCCGUGUACAACCCCGCGGCGCUGCGCCGCCCGGGCCUCGCCAAAUUCGUGCUGGGCUCCUUCGACGACAACUCCUCCGAUGAUGAGCUGAUGGCCACGGCCUUCAGGGUGGGCCGGCGGCGCAGCAGCCUGGCCGGGGUGGGGGGUACCGUCCCCGAGCCCCCCACCGUGAGCGCCCCUCUGGAGCCCAGCGCCGGCAUCAGGCCCAGCAUGUCGGGGCUCAACCUGGCAAAGAGGAGCCACAGGAAGAUGGACCUGCAGCGGGAUUUUUCCGUUGCCUCCCCAGCGGAGUUCGUCACCCGCUUUGGGGGCAACCGUGUCAUCGAGAAGGUCCUCAUCGCCAACAACGGCAUCGCUGCUGUCAAGUGCAUGCGCUCCAUCCGCCGCUGGGCCUACGAGAUGUUCCGCAACGAGCGCGCCAUUCGCUUCGUGGUCAUGGUCACCCCCGAGGACCUCAAGGCUAACGCAGAGUACAUCAAGAUGGCAGAUCACUAUGUGCCUGUCCCUGGAGGGACGAACAACAACAACUAUGCCAACGUGGAGCUGAUCGUGGACAUUUCCAAACGGAUCCCAGUCCAGGCGGUGUGGGCUGGCUGGGGACACGCCUCAGAGAACCACAAGCUGCCAGAGCUGCUGCAGAAAAAUGGGAUAGCUUUCCUAGGCCCCCCCAGUGAUGCCAUGUGGGCGCUGGGGGACAAAGUCGCCUCCACCAUCGUGGCUCAGACCCUGGAGAUCCCCACGCUGCCGUGGAGCGGGAGUGGUCUGGUGGCCCAGUGGUCUGAGGAGGACCAGAAUCAUCAGCAGACCAUCAGCAUCCCCCUGGAGACGUACGCGCAGGGCUGCGUGAAGGACAUGGAAGAAGGCCUGGAGGUGGCCAGGAGGAUCGGCUACCCCCUGAUGAUCAAGGCAGCAGAAGGUGGUGGGGGAAAAGGAAUCCGAAAAGUGGAGGCAGCAGAGGAAUUUAGUGCCUGCUUCCGGCAGGUGCAGGCGGAGGCGCCCGGAUCCCCCAUUUUCCUGAUGCAGCUGGCGCAGCACGCGCGGCACCUGGAGGUGCAGGUCCUGGCAGAUGAGUAUGGUAAUGCCAUCUCCCUCUUCAGCCGUGACUGCUCCAUCCAGCGCCGCCACCAGAAGAUCAUCGAGGAGGCGCCGGCCACCAUCGCUGCCCCUACUGUCACUGAGAUGAUGGAGAAGUGCGCUGUCCGCCUGGCCCAGAUGGUUGGGUACGUCAGUGCAGGCACCGUGGAGUAUCUGUACGGCGAGGAUGGGAGCUUCCACUUCCUGGAGCUGAACCCCCGGCUGCAGGUGGAGCACCCGUGCACGGAGAUGGUGGCAGAUGUGAACCUCCCGGCUGCCCAGCUGCAGAUUGCAAUGGGCAUCCCCUUGCACAGGAUAAAAGACAUCCGGGUGCUGUAUGGGGAGAGCCCCUGGGGGGACACCCCCAUCUGCUUCCACAGCCCCUCCAACCCCCCCGUGCCCAGAGGCCACGUCAUUGCUGCCCGGAUCACCAGCGAGAACCCCGAGGAGGGUUUCAAGCCCAGCUCAGGGACAGUGCAGGAGCUGAAUUUCCGCAGCAGCAAGAAUGUCUGGGGGUACUUCAGCGUGGCAGCAGCCGGGGGGCUGCACGAAUUUGCUGAUUCCCAGUUUGGACACUGCUUCUCAUGGGGAGAGAACCGGGAGGAGGCCAUCUCGAACAUGGUGGUGGCCCUGAAGGAGCUGUCUAUCCGUGGGGAUUUCCGGACCACGGUGGAGUACCUGAUCAAGCUGCUGGAGACAGAGAGCUUCCAGAGCAACGAGAUACACACGGGCUGGCUGGACCACCUGAUCGCUGAGAAAGUGCAGGCAGAGAAGCCAGACACGAUGCUGGGGGUUGUCUGUGGUGCCCUGAACGUGGCAGAUGCUGCUUUCAGGACGUGCAUGACUGACUUCCUGCACACGCUGGAGAGGGGCCAGGUGCUGCCAGCAGCCUCCCUGCUGAACAUCGUCGAUGUGGAGCUCAUCUAUGAGGGUGUGAAGUACAUUCUGCAGGUGGCUCGCCAGUCCCUGACCACCUACGUGAUUAUCAUGAACCGCACGCACAUCGAGAUUGACGUGCACCGGCUCAACGACGGGGGGCUGCUGCUCUCCUACGACGGCUGCAGCUACACCACCUACAUGAAAGAGGAGAUCGACAGGUACAGGAUCACCAUCGGCAACAAAACGUGCACCUUCGAGAAGGAGAAGGACCCGACGGUGUUGCGCUCGCCCUGCGCGGGGAAGCUGCUGCAGUACAUGGUGGAGGACGGAGGCCACGUGGACGAGGGGAAGGUUUAUGCAGAGAUCGAGGUGAUGAAGAUCAUCAUGACGCUGACAGUGGAGGAGGCGGGGAGCCUGCACUACAUCAAGCGGCCGGGAGCGCUGCUGGAGGCCGGCUGUAUCAUCGCCCGCCUCCAGCUCGAUGAUCCUUCCAAAGUGAAGCCUGCUCAGCCAUUCACGGGGAGCCUCCCAGCCCAGCAGACCCUCCCCAUCACUGGUGAGAAGCAGCACCAGGUUCUCCGCAACGUGCUGGACAACCUGACCAACGUCAUGAACGGCUACUGCCUGCCCGAGCCCUACUUCAAGACCAAGGUGAAGGAAUGGGUGGCACAGCUGAUGAAGACCCUGCGGGACCCUGCCCUGCCACUGCUGGAGCUGCAGGAGAUCAUGACCAGCAUUUCAGGAAGAAUCCCGCUGGCUGUGGAGAAGUCCAUCCGGAAGGUGAUGGCGCAGUACGCCAGCAACAUCACCUCCGUGCUCUGCCGCUUCCCCAGCCAGCAGAUUGCCAACGUGCUGGACACUCACGCAGCCACGCUGCAGAGGAAGGCUGAGCGGGAGGUCUUCUUCAUGAACACACAGAGCCUGGUGCAGCUGGUACAGAGGUACCGCAGUGGCAUCCGGGGCUACAUGAAGACAGUGGUGCUGGACCUGCUCAGGCGCUACCUGCAAGUGGAGACACAGUUCCAGCAUGGUGAGGGCUCGGGGCUCUCUGGGGGAGCUGCAGAACUCUCUGGGGGAGGUGCAGGGCUCUCUGGGGGAGCUGCAGAGCUCAUCAAACCCUGCCCCACAGCUCACUACGACAAGUGCGUCAUCAGCCUGCGGGAACAAUGCAAACCCAACAUGACCCCUGUGCUGGAGAGUAUUUUCUCCCAUGCCCAGGUGGCCAAGAAGAACCAGCUGGUGAUCAUGUUAAUUGACCACCUGUGUGGCCGUGACCCCACGCUGACAGAUGAGCUGACCACCAUCCUCCAUGAGCUGACACAGCUCAGCAAGGCCGAGCACUCCAAAGUGGCACUGAGAGCCCGGCAGGUGCUCAUUGCCUCUCACAUGCCCUCCUACGAGCUGCGGCACAACCAGGUUGAGUCCAUCUUCAUCUCCGCUAUCGACAUGUACGGACAUGAGUACUGCCCUGAGAACCUGAAGAAACUGAUCCUGUCAGAAACCUCCAUCUUUGAUGUGCUUCCUGUGUUCUUCUACCACACCAACGAGGUGGUGCGCAUGGCAGCGCUGGAGGUGUACGUGCGGCGGGGGUACAUCGCCUACGAGCUGCAGAGCCUGCAGCACCAGCAGCUCUCUGAUGGCACCUGCCUCGUGGAGUUCCAGUUCAUGCUGCCCUCCUCCCACCCCAACAGGAUGUCUGUCCCUAUCAGUGUCUCCAACCCUGACCUGGCCCGGCACAGCACUGAGCUCUUCAUGGACAGUGGCUUUUGCCCCACAAGCCAGAGGAUGGGAGUCAUGGUGGCCUUCCACAGAUUUGAGGACUUCACAAGGCACUUCGAUGAAGUGAUCUCGUGCUUUGCCAACACCCCGUCGGACAGCGGGCUCCUCAGCGAGGCACAGGCCACCACCUACGAUGAAGAGGACACCAAGAACAUCCGUGAGGAGCCGAUCCACAUCCUCAACAUUGCGCUCUGCUCGGCUGACUACGUGGACGACGAGAAGCUGGUGCCCAUCUUCAGAGCCUUUGCCCAGUCCAAGAAAAAUAUCCUUGUUGAAUGUGGUCUCCGGAGAAUCACGUUCCUCAUUGCCCAGCAGAGAGAAUUCCCAAAGUUUUUCACGUUCAGAGCCAGGGAUGAGUUCGCAGAGGAUCGGAUCUACCGGCACCUGGAGCCGGCGCUCGCCUUCCAGCUGGAGCUGAGCCGCAUGCGCAACUUCGACCUGACGGCCAUCCCCUGUGCCAACCACAGGAUGCACCUGUACCUGGGGGCUGCCAGGGUGCAGGCGGGCACCGAGGCCACCGACUACCGCUUCUUCAUCCGCGCCAUCGUGCGCCACUCCGACCUCAUCACUAAGGAGGCUUCCUUCGAGUACCUGCAGAAUGAGGGCGAGCGGAUGCUUCUGGAGGCCAUGGAUGAGCUGGAGGUGGCCUUCAACAACACCACUGUGCGCACUGACUGCAACCACAUCUUCCUCAACUUCGUGCCCACUGUCAUCAUGGACCCGUCCAAGAUUGAGGAGUCGGUGCGCUCCAUGGUGAUGCGCUACGGCAGCCGCCUCUGGAAGCUGCGGGUGCUGCAGGCCGAGGUGAAGAUCAACAUCCGCCUGACUCCCACGGCCACCGCCAUCCCCAUCCGCCUCUUCCUCACCAACGAGUCUGGAUAUUACCUGGACAUCAGCCUCUACAAGGAAGUGAGGGACCUCAGCACUGGCAGUAUCAUGUUCCAGUCAUAUGGGGACAAGCAGGGUCCGCAGCAUGGGAUGCUCAUCAACACCCCCUAUGUCACCAAGGACCUGCUUCAGGCCAAGCGGUUCCAGGCGCAGUCCUUGGGCACCACCUAUGUGUAUGACUUCCCAGAGAUGAUCAGGCAGGCUCUCUUCAAGCUGUGGGGCUCCUCGGACCUGUAUCCCAAGGACAUCUUGACCUACACUGAGCUGGUUAUAGACUCACAGGGGCACCUUGUGCAGAUGAACAGGGUCCCUGGAGGCAACGAGGUGGGGAUGGUUGCUUUCAAAAUGAAGCUGAAGACCCCUGAGUACCCCAAAGGCCGGGACAUUGUGCUCAUCUGCAAUGACAUCACGCACAAGAUUGGCUCCUUUGGGCCUGAGGAGGACCUGGUGUUCCUGAGGGCCUCGGAGCUGGCGCGGGCUGAGGGCAUCCCCCGCAUCUACAUCGCCGCCAACAGCGGCGCCCGCAUUGGCUUCGCUGAGGAGAUCAAGAACUUGUUCCAGGUGGCCUGGGUGGACCCAGCUGAGCCUGACAAGGGGUUCAGGUACCUGUACCUGACUCCCCAGGACUACACGAAGAUCAGCACCAUGAACUCGGUGCGCUGUGAGCAUGUGGAGGAAGGCAGUGAGUCGAGGUAUGUCCUGCUGGACAUCAUUGGGAAAGACAACGGAUUUGGGGUGGAAAACCUGAGAGCUGCUGGUACCAUUGCUGGGGAGUCCUCCCGUGCCUACGACGAAAUAGUGACCAUCAGCAUGGUGAGCUGUCGUGCCAUCGGGAUCGGUGCCUACCUGGUGAGGCUGGGCCAGCGCGUCAUCCAGGUGGAGAACUCCCACAUCAUCCUCACGGGUGUCACGGCUCUCAACAAGGUGCUGGGACGGGAGGUUUACACAUCCAACAACCAGCUGGGAGGAGUGCAGAUCAUGCACAACAACGGUGUUUCCCACGUCACUGUCCCAGAUGACUUUGAGGGGGUCUACACCAUCCUGCAGUGGCUCUCAUACAUACCCAAGGAUAACCACAGCCCGGUGCCUGUCACUGCCAUAAGUGAUCCUGUUGAAAGAGAAAUUGAUUUUGUCCCUUCCAAAGUCCCCUAUGACCCCAGGUGGAUGCUGGCAGGGAGACCCCACCCAACUCUCAAAGGGACCUGGCAGAGCGGCUUCUUUGACCAGGGCAGCUUCAUGGAGAUCAUGAAGCCGUGGGCUCAGACUGUGGUGGUUGGCAGAGCGAGGCUGGGAGGUCUCCCCGUGGGUGUCAUCGCUGUUGAGACCCGCACUGUGGAGGUGACAAUACCUGCUGACCCUGCCAACCUGGACUCAGAGGCAAAGAUAAUCCAGCAGGCUGGACAGGUCUGGUUCCCAGACUCUGCUUUUAAAACAGCCCAGGCCAUUCGGGACUUCAACCGGGAACACCUCCCGCUGAUGAUCUUUGCCAACUGGAGAGGCUUCUCCAGUGGCAUGAAAGACAUGUAUGACCAGAUGCUGAAGUUUGGUGCCUUCAUCGUGGACAGCCUGCGGGACUUCAAGCAGCCUGUCCUGGUGUACAUUCCCCCUCACGCGGAGCUGCGCGGCGGCUCCUGGGUGGUCAUCGACUCCACCAUCAACCCCCUGCACGUGGAGCUCUACGCCGACAAGGAGAGCAGGGGAGGCAUUUUGGAGCCUGGAGGAACAGUAGAGAUCAAGUUCAGGAAGAAAGAUUUGGUGAAGACAAUGAGAAGGAUUGAUAAAGUUUAUGCUGAGCUUGUUGAACAGCUGGGGACCCCCGAGCUGUCGGCGGCGCAGCGCAAGCAGCUGGAGAAGCAGCUGAAGGCGCGGGAGGAGCUGCUGCUGCCCGUGUACCACCAGGUGGCCGUGCGCUUCGCAGACCUGCACGACACCCCGGGCCGCAUGCAGGAGAAAGGGGUGAUCACGGACAUCCUGGAAUGGAAAAGCGCCCGCUCCUUCCUCUACUGGAGGCUGCGGCGGCUGCUGCUGGAGGAGAUGGUGAAGGGGGAGGUGCUGAAGGCCAACAGCGAGCUCAGCCACAUCCACAUCCAGUCCAUGCUGCGGCGCUGGUUCAUGGAGACGGAAGGAGCUGAGAAGGGCUACCUCUGGGACAACAACCAGGUGGUGGUGGAGUGGCUGGAGAAGCACAUGCAGGAGGAGGACAGCACCCAGUCGGCCAUCAGGGAGAACAUCAAGUACCUGAAGCGGGACUACAUCCUCAAGCACAUCCGGAGCUUGCUCCAGGCCAACCCUGAGCUGACCAUGGACUGCAUCGUGCAGAUGGCUCAGCACAUCACCGGGCCACAGAAGGCCCAGGUCGCCCAUCUCCUGUCCAGGGUGGACACUGAUGACCCCUCCUGAGCUAGGCAAUCACCACGGGGUAGGAGAAGCACCAGGACACGACCAGACCUCACCUGCCCACCUGGUUCCUCAGCCCUUGAACUGAAGCCUUGGACUCUUGCUCAUGUGCCUAAAUAAAGGACAGCAGCGCUUUGAAGUAUUUUAAACAAUGGAGAUGGUCUUGCCAUCCAUGCAGAGUCCCCUCUGGCACUGGGAAUGCUGCCAGAGGGGCAGCUUUGGGAAAUGAUGAACUUGUCUCAAGCCAAGCCUGGAAUCUGGACCUGGUACAGAACUUGGUUUUAAAAAGAAUCCAAAAUAUUUUCCUGUUUUAGUUGGCAGCCCUGGCCUUGGUCUUUCAAACAAACACCAGGUCAGACACAUCUCAUGAGACUGGACAGAGCUGGAGGCACAGACCCCCUGGCCAGGGCCAGUGUCCAGCUGGCUGGGUGCAAGCUGACCAAGACCAGGAAAUGAGAAGCAGCCUCCAAGUGAUGCUUUAUAAACAAUUUCUGUCAUCCUUCCCCUCGCUGGGGGGCAAAGAGUAGAUGCGGCCAUGAGUAGCUGAUGGCCCAGGAAAGAACUAAGUGACUUAAUUUGGGAGCUGCUCCUGUGGGAAUGUCCAAGGAUCCACCAGGGUUUGGCUGACCUGACUGUUCCUCUCGCCCAUCUCGUGUUCUUUCUGCUUCUGCAGAGAAUGGAGAGGAGGGAGGAUGGCUCCAGUUGCUCCUGCCCCAGUGACCUGGCUCCUCCUCGGAAGCACCAGAGCCAGGGGGAGCUGUCACCUGCUCAGACCUGUACCCUGCUGCUCAGAGCUGUUGGAAACCUCUGAAACCUCGGGACUUAAAACACCUCAGCCCAACAAGGCACCAGCAGCUGCAAAAACGAGCAGAAAUUCCCAUGGGAUCUGAGUGUUGCCAGUGCUGGAGCUCUCUCCCUCUUGGAAUGAGGGGAAGGCACUGGCAGAGCCCUCAUGAGAAGCCAACAGGCUCCAGCUCUUUGGACAGGAAGGAAAAUGUAAAAGAAUAAGCAAAGGGAGCCUGAUGGGGGAGUGGUGGGGGCAGGUUGUGCUGUUCAAGGAGCAGUUAUUCCCUAUUCCCAUUUCCCAUCCCAGCAGUACCUGUCUGCUGGAGCAUGGCGUUCUGGGCCCCCAGGCUGAAAUCCAUCCUCCCACUGGCCAUCUGUUGGAGCCGAGGCACAUCCACGGAUGUCAGCCAGGACAGGGACUGCAAAUCCCCCGGGAGCUCAUCCUCGCUCAGCUGGGACGGGUCUGAAGCCAGGAGCCUGCCAAGCAGCAGGGAAGGUUAACAGGGAGCAGGGAUGGGGCUGCAUUAUCCCUAGAAAGAGAUGACUGGGAUGCCAAAGCUCCUGUAGGUCAGUGGGAAAAAGCUGGAAUUCUGUAUCCCAAUCCAGAUGUGCCCUGUGGUUUCACAGCUGGUUACCAACACCCUUUACCUGGUCUUGUGUUCCUUUCUCCAGUUUGAAACAUUUUGGUUAAGAAAACCUCUUUUGGAGCAUUUAUAGGUUAAGAAGGCCCAGGAACCCAGCAAAGAAACCUAGAAACACCCAAGUGAUUCCUUAUUUUCACAUCUGUCAGAAAUUUGCAUUUGUUUGGCUUUGAUGGGGGACAAACCAGGAGUUUGACCCUGAUGAUUCUGUAUUAACCCUGCAAUCCAGAGCCUUGGAAGGAGCUCUGUGCCCAGCUCCUGGAACACCUGGAAAAGCUUUUCCCAGCCUCUGGAUCCUGUCAGAGGUGACAGAUCAGCAGCUGCAUGAAAAGAACUUCACAGACUGAACUGCUCAUAUAUUCCAUUCAAAUACAUGAAGUUAUUGAUACUUAAAAAACCAUUUUUUAGGCAGGUUUUUGACAGAGUAAAGGAUCAGAGUGAAAGGUUUGGGACUGGAGGAGCUGUAUCUGCCAGGCACCAGCAACAACAGCAGGCACAGCUGUGACAGGCUGCUUUUGGUUUAAAGCUCUGCUUUUGACACCUUUUAUAUGCUCCAGAUCACCUGUUUUGCUUUGCUUCUGAUACAGCAUGUGGUACAAAACGGGAAUAUUGGAAUAUAUUUACAGCACUCAAAAAUUCCUGUGUGGUCCAAGCUCCCCGUUAAAGUCAGUAAAAGAACUCUUGCAAAUGAAAGGCCAAAUGAAUCAAUUUAUGUGAAACACUGUUACAGGAGUCACUGGGACCUCGAGGAGUAAAGCAGUAAUUAGGACAUGUCAGGAAGUUGUCAUUCAACACCCAGGGUAAACCUAAAGGGACUCAGAUCCAGGAAAACAUCUUUAUCUCUCAGAAGAGCAUAACUUAGUUGGAUGCAGUUGAUUUUGCUUUCAAACCCUUUUGCUUUCAAGAGCUCUCUGAGAUGUGUUAAAGUGGUGUUUGCUGCCAAGUGAUGCUGCAGAAACCUUAAAUAAAUCUGUUCUCUUGCUGAUG